GACGAACGCUGGCGGCGUGCUUAACACAUGCAAGUCGAACGGAAAGGCCCUGCUUUUGUGGGGUUCUCGAGUGGCGAACGGGUGAGUAACACGUGAGUAACCUGCCCUUGACUUUGGGAUAACUUCAGGAAACUGGGGCUAAUACCGGAUAGGAGCUCCUGCUGCAUGGGGGUGGGUGGAAAGUUUCGGCUGUUGGGGAUGGACUCGCGGCUUAUCAGCUUGUUGGUGGGGUAGUGGCUUACCAAGGCUUUGACGGGUAGCCGGCCUGAGAGGGUGACCGGCCACAUUGGGACUGAGAUACGGCCCAGACUCCUACGGGAGGCAGCAGUGGGGAAUAUUGCACAAUGGGCGGAAGCCUGAUGCAGCAACGCCGCGUGCGGGAUGACGGCCUUCGGGUUGUAAACCGCUUUCGCCUGUGACGAAGCGUGAGUGACGGUAAUGGGUAAAGAAGCACCGGCUAACUACGUG
rnacentral:rRNA from 1 species